CUUAUUGCAGUGAUUCUCUUCCCAUCUAAAUUUUGUACCGAGCUUCUGUCUACAGUUUGUACUGCCACUUUCAACUAAAGCUCUCAAGUUUGUUCAUAUUACCGACUUAAAGGCUGCAAAGUCCGAGUCUGCUGUGGUUGAUGGGAAGAAAUGCCAUCCAUCAUGGUUAGAGGUGAGAGGAGCCUCAGGAGCUGUCUGAUCACUCGGCCUCCAGCAGCAAGCAAGGACGGAAAGAGCUGUCAAUCAGUGGCCAUCGAUCUUAGUUCUCCACUGCUCCAUCAACAUCGCUGUGAACCCCACUGGCCCAACCUGACUCCUGUUCUAGCAGAUGUGGUGUCCCAGCCUUCCUGAUUUACUUCUUCUAUGCCUCCUGUUGUAGUGGUUUUGUUUUGAAGAGGAAAAAUAGGAAUGGCGUGAGUUGGUCUGAGUAAUGAAUUAUCACAGCUUUCGAGCCAGAUGAGUAUCUCAGGACCUUGAAAUAGAGCAGUCUUCUGAAUA